UCUGAUGAGAAGAUAGGACCCAAGCUAUCUUAGCGAUGUCUUAACUGUGUUUAUACCAUACACAUACUUUCUGUUCUUUCUUUAGGAUAUAACAGAUGUGUCCGAUGGAUGUGGAGCCAAAUUCGAUGCUGUGAUUGUGUCACCUCAGUUUGAAGGCAAAAAGCUGCUUGCCAGACAUAGAUUAGUGAACAAUGCUCUGGAAGAUGAGAUGAAUAUCAUUCAUGCUUUCACCAUGAAGACUUACACACCAGAUGAGCAACGGAACAAAAUCAAUGACAAUAAAUGAAAAACUUUUUAAAACUUCGCUCAACAAAUUAAAACUGACUUUGCAAAAUGUGGAGAUCUCUUUAGAUCAGAUCGAGGGUUGGAUAAAGAGAGGUUGUAGAAAAAAUAUUACAAAACCUUGUAAAACCUCGCCCAACAGAAGCUGCAGUGCUCUUUAUUGUAUAUCGUUGUUGUAGUUCUGUUGUCAGAGGGCAAAAAGUAUGCUGACAAAGUUGAAGACCUGAUAAACAUGUUCAAACAUU